rnacentral:ncRNA from 1 species
AUAUAAAAUAAAUUUUUUAUGAUUUAAAAAAWUUUUUUAAAAUUUAUUUUACAUAUAAAUUUUAGUGUAAAUUUUUAAAUAUUUWAAKAAUAUUUAAUUUUAUUAAAUUAGUAAUUAAUAUUAAAAAUUUAAGAAAUUAAGAUUUAGUAAUAUUAAAAUUAAUAACAAAUUUUGUGCCAGCAGUUGCGGUUAUACAAAARUUAAAUUAAAUUUUAUUAGUAAUAAUUAAUAUAAWAUAAUUUAAUUUAAAUAUUAAAUUAAUAAGUGAAAUUUUAAUUUAAUUAAAAAUUAUARUAAAAAUUGUAUGAUUUAGUAAAUUUUAAUAUAAACUAGGAUUAGAUACCCUAUUAUUAAAAAUUUAAAUUUAAAAUACUAAAAUAGUAAAUAAUUAUUUAUUUAAACUUAAAUAAUUUGGCGGUAUUUUAGUUCAUUUAGAGGAAUCUGUUUAUUAAUUGAUAAUCCACGAAUAAUUUUACUUARUUUAUAAUUUUGUAUAUCGUUGUUAAAAAAAUAUUUWUAAAUAAAUUUAAUAUUUUAAAAUUAUAAAAAAAAAUUAAAUCAGAUCAAGAUGCAGAUAAUAAUUAAGAAUAUAAUGGAUUACAAUAAAUUUAUUUAUAUGAAUAUUAAAUUGAAAAAUUUAAUUGAAAGUGGAUUUAAAUGUAAUUUUAUUUAAUUUAAUAAAAUGAUUUWAAAUUAAAAUAUGUACAUAUUGCCCGUCGCUUUCAUUAAUAAAUUGAAAUAAGUCGUAACAAAGUAGAGGUACUGGAAAGUGUUUCUAGAAAGAA